rnacentral:tRNA from 1 species
UCCUUGGUGGUCCAGCGGUUAGAACUCUGAGCUUCCACUGCAGGGGGCACAGGUUCAAUCCCUGGUCAGGGAA